AUUGAACGCUGGCGGCAGGCCUAACACAUGCAAGUCGAACGGUAACAGGAAACAGCUUGCUGUUUCGCUGACGAGUGGCGGACGGGUGAGUAAUGUCUGGGAAACUGCCUGAUGGAGGGGGAUAACUACUGGAAACGGUAGCUAAUACCGCAUAACGUCGCAAGACCAAAGAGGGGGACCUUCGGGCCUCUUUCCAUCAGAUGUGCCCAGAUGGGAUUAGCUAGUAGGUGGGGUAACGGCUCACCUAGGCGACGAUCCCUAGCUGGUCUGAGAGGAUGACCAGCCACACUGGAACUGAGACACGGUCCAGACUGCUACGGGAGGCAGCAGUGGGGAAUAUUGCACAAUGGGCGCAAGCCUGAUGCAGCCAUGCCGCGUGUAUGAAGAAGGCCUUCGGGUUGUAAAGUACUUUCAGCGGGGAGGAAGGGAGUAAAGUUAAUACCUUGGCUCAUUGACGUUACCCGCAGAAGAAGCACCGGCUAACUCCGUG
rnacentral:rRNA from 1 species